rnacentral:rRNA from 1 species
AUAAGCGGAGGAAAAGAAACUAACAAGGAUUCCCCUAGUAACGGCGAGUGAACCGGGAUGAGCUCAAAUUUGAAAUCUGGCGUCCUCAGGGCGUCCGAGUUGUAAUCUAUAGAGGCGUUUUCCGUGCCGGACCGUGUCCAAGUCCCUUGGAACAGGGUAUCAAAGAGGGUGACAAUCCCGUACUUGACACGACGACCGGUGCUCUGUGAUACGUCUUCUACGAGUCGAGUUGUUUGGGAAUGCAGCUCAAAAUGGGUGGUGAGUUCCAUCUAAAGCUAAAUAUUGGCGAGAGACCGAUAGCGAACAAGUACCGUGAGGGAAAGAUGAAAAGCACUUUGGAAAGAGAGUUAAACAGUACGUGAAAUUGUUGAAAGGGAAACGAUUGAAGUCAGUCGUGACUGUUGGGCUCAGCAGGUUCUGCCUGUGUAUUCCCCUCAGUCGGGUCAACAUCAGUUUUGACCGGUGGAUAAGGGCAGCAGGAAUGUGGCACCUCCGGGUGUGUUAUAGCCUGUCGUCGCAUACAUCGGUCGAGACUGAGGAACGCAGCUCGCCCUUGAGGCCGGGGUUCGCCCACGUCCGAGCUUAGGAUGUUGACAUAAUGGCUUUAAACGACCCGU